AGGCUGAAACCUAACCAAUAAUUCAUUCACAUUCAACACACAUAGCCACACACAAACACACACACACAGAGCCGCACACACACACACACACACACACGCUCAGCCGCGCACACACGCACGCGCACACACACACACACACACACAGGGCGGUCAUGGCGUCUGAAGCAGUGGAACUGAACAAAGAUGCCAACAGUCACAGACAAGACGGAGAGAUUGUGAGGCGUGGAUACAGUACAAGAAGGCUCUCGCGCCCACUCAACAUGAACACCUACGCUAAUAAGAAGAGCGCGGCGGAGAGCAUGCUGGACGUAGCACUGCUGAUGGCUAACGCGUCUCAGCUGAAGGCCGUGAUGGAGCAGGGGCCCGAGUUCACCUUCUACAUCCCACUGAUCACACUCAUCAGUAUCUCACUCGUACUGCAGAUCAUUGUCGGCGUUUUACUCAUAUUCAUCGUGAAGUGGAAUCUGAACGAUGAAAGUAAACACUACCACCUGGACGUUCUGGAAAACAUCUCCACAGCCCUGGUCUUCAUCAUCGUCGUUGUGAACAUCUUCAUCACAGCGUUCGGUGUGCAGAGACCCAACACGGGCGUGUGAUCCACACCGAGAACACACACACACACCAAUCAGGUCUGAGCUGUAAGGGAACUAGAGGUCCAUUGGGGAUCUGGGAUCUCUAUGGGGAAGUUUUCACCAUCACCAGACCUGCUGCGUUCCUCCUGACUGUACAAGUGUGUGGAUCAGGGCCGAGUGCAAGACACAAACACCACCACCAGGAUUCUGUACAAACAUCUGCUGAAAUUUCCCCGGUCAGGUUUCAUCCCGUGUCCAUGUGUGUGUUUUUGUGAUCGAUUAUUAAUGACACCAAAUGCUGCCUGGGUUUAAAACUUUCACCAAAACUUUUUCUUGUUCUACAGAAAUGCAUGUCGUGUAUCAUAGUGUUAAGUUUUAAUAAACACCUGUACUGUGUGUUCAGGAUGAGCUGACAGAGGGUUACACCAUGUGUAAUGUGUACAUAUUCACACUGACACUCAACACAGCCAUAGGGACGGAGCACACACUCGAGCAUGCGAUCAUGAAUCGUUUGCAAACAAUUCACUCCAGUUUAAGGGAGAAGAUUUGGAAGCACUUAGAAAAGAGACGGAUUUCACCACAGACCAAGUUUAGACUCCGCUGAGAGCUUCAGCAAUGUCAUUGUGGCCUGUAACAUUUUCUGACUCCUCAAAGUCCUGAUGAGUUUAUUUAAACCCAUAAACUCAUUGGGACGACAUGGAAAUGUUUUUGUUGAGAGCCAGUUAAACACACACACACACACACACACACACACACACACACACACACACAGAGUAAAUGACUCACCGUAAUCAAGCUGUUGGACAGUGACAUGUUGUAGUGAAGCAGACGUUAGUUUAAUAAAUUCAGCUUGUAAUCAGAGUCUGAAUGAAAUCUUCACAUGCUUUACACACACACACACCUGUGUACUUUAAUGUAUUAUUCUGCUUAACUUCAGCUCAGAUACACAGCUCAUGUUUAUCUUUUUAUUUUUUAAUAUGUAUAAAAUGUUUAUUCUAACCAAAGUGUGUAUAUAAUUAUAUAUCUAAAUAUAGUGUGUGUGUGUGUGUGUGUGUGUGUGUGUGUGUGUGUGUGUGUGUGUGUGUGUGUGUGUGUGUAUUGACGAGUUAUUUGUACUCUAGGUGUUUUCUUCAUAACUUCGCCUUUUAAGACGAAUACUGUGUCCGUGUGCAGCCAAACGUACACCAGCUCCUCUAUGCAACAGUGUGGCUGAAGAAUGGUUUAUUUUUCUGUAAAGAAAUUGUGUGUGUGUGUGUGUGUGUGUGUGUGUGUGUGUGUGUGUGUGUGUGUGUGUGUGUGUGUGUGAGAUUAUAAAGAAAGCCAGUAUAUAUCAGUACAAUUUAUUGUAAAAGUCUGAACUGUCUUUAAACACAUAAAAAUGAUAAAACACA